CAUCCCAGAUGGACAUAAUAAUAGUACCUACUCCAAAAGGUUGUUGUGAGGAUUAAAUUAAAUACACUAGAGCCUGGUAAUAAAAGGCAUGUGACCAUGGGGGAGGUUCACUAAUCCUGGGGCUGCUGCAAGCUUCCCUCGAGUCCUGUGAGCGUCAACACAAAGCAUUUGGCAUGGAGCCUGGUUGUGGCACACUCUCAGUAGCUGUGCUGCUGCUCCGGUAAUGCAGACGCCUCUGGUGGAGGGCUGUGCUGUGGUGCUGUCUGCUAUGUGUCAGAUGUGGUGUCCUCAGGAAAGCAGGGCUUUUGCCUGAGCCCCGCAGGCAGUGACAGGGUGGUUUUUGCCUUUGAUUCAGACCACAUUGUGCAACACAUCAUUGGACAACCCAACCCAGAGAAACAAGGAUCAGCUGAUCCGGGCAGCCGUGAAGUUUCUGGACACCGACACCAUCUGGUAAUGGACAUUUAGAUGGGCAUUCCCCUUGGAUUGAGGCUAUUUUUCCUGAUUUGCCCAGAUGGUUAUCAGUGGAAGAAGAAACCCUCUCCAUUUAUUGCAAGGACAAGGAAGGUGGCCCACUUGACUUUGGCACUUGGCUGCUCUGUAGCCCCUUAGGAGGAGGACUCCUCGGGCUACAAUGGUGUCAGAACAUGGCCACCCCUCUUCUCUAGCCCAGAAGCUGCUCCUUAGGCUGGGAGGGUGG
rnacentral:lncRNA from 1 species